rnacentral:rRNA from 1 species
UACGUAGGGGGCGAGCGUUGUCCGGAAUCAUUGGGCGUAAAGAGCGUGUAGGCGGCUUGGCAAGUCUGACGUGAAAUCCCGCGGCUCAACCGCGGUAGGUCGUUGGAAACUGCCUCGCUAGAGUCCGGAAGAGGAGAGCGGAAUUCCUGGUGUAGCGGUGGAAUGCGCAGAUAUCAGGAGGAACACCGGUGGCGAAGGCGGGUCUCUGGGCCGUUACUGACGCUGAGGAGCGAAAGCGUGGGGAGCAAACAGG